AGCCACACCCUUGAUUUAGGCUUUGUCCUGAGACUGAUAAAAUGGUGAGGUGAAAGAUAAUUUUAGUCUUCUGAAGUCUCAGAAUUUUUGAGCUUUCUCUAUUUACUCUCAAUUUUGCUGGAAAAUUGGUCAGUUCUUUUUUAAAACUUCACUUUGUCUUGUAGUAGUAUCUUAUCCAGCUGGUAGCAAGUAUAUUACACAAUCAAUAUUCUGCCCGGACCCUUUCUUGUCCAACGCUUCAAGUUCAUUAGGUAUAUUUUCUGUCUUCCAAACCAUUACAGAUGAGUUUUGCCAAGCACUUCUUCUUGGAAUAACACAGGAUGGCAUGUUUCCAGCCUUCCAUUACAGCUUUCUCACCAUCUGCCUACUUGCCCAAGUCACAGGUACAUAUUUUAGGUUUUCUUUAUGGCAGUAUCCUACUUCUGAUUCCAUUUCUCCACCAGCCAAUUAUUGUUUCAAUAAUGUGGGUGAAUAUCUUAAACCCAGUGACCUACAGCAACAGGCACUUAGACUCGUAUUUCCAAGUCUGUUCAACAGAUCUAGGCUGGGCACAGCAAAUGGCCCCCUUUUAGGUUACACAGGGACUGGGGUUGGCCUCAUUGUAUGUUGGCUUUGAGUCAUAUAUAAGGUGUUUGUUGCCUUAAGCUCAGGCUGAAAGGGGAAGCAACUCUUGGGGAUAAGUCCUUUUUACAGUGUACCCGUAGGACAGUAGCCCAGUUGAACCAGUGAAUACAUUUAAAGCAUCUUAUGCACCAUGCCCACUAACAGUCCAUGGAAUAAAGUAGAUUCCAUGGCUGAGCCUAACAUGGUGCAAGAGGGUAUUCCAUAGUCUUCAGUCAUGCAACAAGACCACUCUAUGAUAGUUUGAAUAUUUUUAUGUAUGUGUCUAUUCGUGUGUGUGAAGAUAAACACGUAAAUGUAUGUAUAUAUGUGUGUGUGUGUGUGUGUGUGUGUACAUGUAAAUAUAGAAGCCAUAGGACUACCUCACUUAUCCUCAGUAACAUAGUUUACCCCUUUUGAGAUAGGACUUCUUACUGGCCUGGAGCUGGUCAAUUAGAAUAGAUUGGUUGGCCAGUGAACUCCAGCAAUCCUUCUGCCUCUACAUCUCCACUGCUGGGAUUAUGCAUAUACAUGACCAUAUCUAGUUUUUUUGCUUAUAAAGCAAGUGCUUUACCAACCAAGCUCUCUUCCCAGCCCAGGGUCUGAAUUUUUGAAUGGGUAGGAACUCAAAUGAUGAUAUGAGGAUUGUUUUUGAGUUAUCAGUGUCAAAAGGAGGAAAACCAGAAAUGGACAGUCUAUGAAAACCAUUGUCUUCUCACUCACUCCUUACAUCCCUCUAACUAAGUUCCUGUCAAGGAGACACAGGUGAUGUGAACUGCUUUUGGAAUUUGUUCAUAGAAAGAAGUGGGCAUGCUCUCUCAUUGCUCUUUCCAACUGCUAGCUGGCUGGGAUGUGCCUACGUGAGAUGACAAGUCACUCGUUUGGGUGAUGGUGGGUUGACUAAGCAGUCACGGGUCACCACACGAAAGAAAAAUACAAGGAAAAACCCUUAUCUUCAGCUACUUAUUCUGUGUCUUUGUCAAAGCAGCUUAAACUGUACAUAGUACUGUUUCCUAACUGCUACACAGUAAGAGACUCUUGUUUAAAUAACUAUAUUUCCAGGUAUCAUAGUUA
rnacentral:lncRNA from 1 species